rnacentral:rRNA from 1 species
GAUGAACGCUGGCGGCGUGCCUAAUACAUGCAAGUCGAGCGAACAGACGAGGAGCUUGCUCCUCUGACGUUAGCGGCGGACGGGUGAGUAACACGUGGAUAACCUACCUAUAAGACUGGGAUAACUUCGGGAAACCGGAGCUAAUACCGGAUAAUAUAUUGAACCGCAUGGUUCAAUAGUGAAAGACGGUUUUGCUGUCACUUAUAGAUGGAUCCGCGCCGCAUUAGCUAGUUGGUAAGGUAACGGCUUACCAAGGCGACGAUGCGUAGCCGACCUGAGAGGGGGAUCGGCCAAACUGGAACUGGGACACGGUCCAGACUCCUACGGGAGGCAGCAGUAGGGAAUCUUCCGCAAUGGGCGAAAGCCUGACGGAGCAACGCCGCGUGAGUGAUGAAGGUCUUCGGAUCGUAAAACUCUGUUAUUAGGGAAGAACAAAUGUGUAAGUAACUAUGCACGUCUUGACGGUACCUAAUCAGAAAGCCACGGCUAACUACGUG